rnacentral:rRNA from 1 species
ACACCGAUAAGUUGAACGCAUAUUGCGCAUCGUGCGACACAGCUCGAUGUACA